UAGAUGGAUGCUCGCUGGUUUGAGCGCUUAGCUGUUAACUAAGAGUUUGUAGGAUCGAGGCCUUCCCCAAUCUAGU
rnacentral:tRNA from 1 species